GACAAAAAGGAGGAGGAUCCAGAGAAAGUUGCCUUCAUGGUCGCACUAGGCCUAGUCACUACAGAACACUUGGAAGAGAUCCAGAGUAAACGGCAGGAGAGAAAAAGG